UUAAAAUUUGCAUGGUUUGUUUACAUUUAACAAUUGGAUUAUUUUACAAUAGAUUUUGCAAUUUUGACUAACAAUGUUGUUUGAUUUAUUUCUUUUCAGGUACCCCUGCCAGAAGGACAGGAGCGCCGAGUCGUUGGAAUCCUCAGGAGUCAUCACCGGUGAGCGCCUGUAGUGUGUUGGCUGUGAUUUGUUGUGGCCGCUGGAAGAGCUCCGCUUGCAACAAGCUCGUCCUGGUCGGUGUUGCAAGCAAUUGCAUGAGUUUUGAAGAAGCUAAAUCCCGCGCAGCCGUCAUUGGAAUGUAUUGGAGCUGCUGGCAACAUGGUGGUGGAGACGAAGGUUGCACGGAGCGCCGCGUCCUGUGCCCAUUGCGUCGGGACUGGCUGCUAGGAGCUUCCAGAUCAGGAAUAGUUGCCGAGGACCGCCGCAACGGUAGAGGUCAUGGUAUUUCAGGAUGUUCCGGGUCAGGAAUUGUUGCCGAGGACCGUAGCAACGAUUGGGGCCAUGGAAAUGAAUGUAAAGUAAAAUUUUAGGUGCCCAGGCUGGACGAUAUUUGAAGGUGUGUUUUUUAGGUACAUUUGUAGCAGCUAAUAUUAGGUCCAUCGUAGCUGGGAUGCCGUGGUUUUGGGUUCUUCAAGUUUCAAUUAAU